rnacentral:lncRNA from 1 species
GUGACAGUUAUGGCGGGGUUGGUGGAAGCGCCACCAUCACUGCGUUUUAUUCUCUGAAUACAUUUCCAUGCCUGCAUUUGAAAAACAUUCAUUUUUAAGUUACUGUUGUGAAAACAUGAAAGGAUAUCAGGGCAGGAGAGCUAGCUCAGCAUUUAAUAGCACUUGUUUUUGUAAAGGACGGAGUUCUAUUCCCAGCACCCACCUCGCAUGGCUCGCAAGAGCUUGUAACUCCAGUACUAGGGAUCUAGUGCCCUCUUACGGCCUCUUUCGGCACUUGCACACAUAUGGCAUACUUAGUCAGGGUUUCUGUUCCUACACAAGCAUGACCAAGAAGCAAGUUGGGGAGAAAAGGGUUUAUUCAGCUCACACUUCCACACUCCACCAAAGGAAGUCAGGACUGGAACUCACAUAGGGCAGGAAGCAGGAGCUGAUGCAGAGGCCAUGGAGGGAUGCUGCUUACUGGCUUGCUUCCCCUGGCUGGCUCAGCCUGCUCUCCUAUAGAACCCAACACUACUAGCCCAGGGAUGGCACCACCUACAGUGGGCUUGGUCCCCCUUGAUCACAAGUUGAGAAAAUGCCUUACGGCUGGGUCUCAUGGAGGUAUUUCUGCAACUGAGGUUCCUUUCUCUGUGAUAACUCCAGCUUGUGUCAAGUUGACACACAAACCCAGCCAGUACAAUCGACCCCUUGUCAACCUGACACGCAAACACAUCAUAAGUAAGCCUCAACCCUUACUUUCUUAUUCAUUCCCAAGAUCUAAA